AGGGGAGGGUCAAAUCCAACAAGAACUGCUAACUCUUGUGUCUGAGCCUAAAAUCUCAGUCCCCUU
rnacentral:tRNA from 1 species